GUAAGACUCACUCAGAAGAGCAUAUCCUACAGCAAGGGAUAUUCAUCCCUAUCUUCCUGGUUGUACUUUAACUUCAGAUGGGAGGAGAAACAAGCUUGCUAGUUUCCAGUUAGCAUUAAUUCCACUCCCUGCAAUUUAGACACAGCACAAAACUUCCUUCUUCCAUCUUCUCAUUAUCAUAGAGUACUCAGGGACAAGCUUGGAAGAAAGUCCAAUUUAUAUCUCCCAUUAUAAAGAAGACUAUAUGUUGUCAAUGCUAAACCUGCAACAGGUAACUGAAAACAAGUUUAAAAGCCUUCAUCCAGUAGCUGAUGGAAGCAGAGGCAAACACCCACAGCUAAUCAUUGAACUGAACUCUGGAAUCCAGUUGCAGAGAAGGAGGAAUGAUGGGCAAAAGGGUCAAGACCAGGCUGGAGAAACCCACAGAAACAGCUGACCUGAACAAGGGGGAGUUCAUAGACCCAAGACUGACAACUGGGAAAACAACAUAGGACUGUUCCAGGUCCCCUGAGUGAAGACAUCAGUUUGGAGGUCUGCUUAAUCUAUGGAGCCUCUUGUAGUAGAUCAGUACUUAUCCCUACCAUAGGAAUGGACUUUGGGAGCUCAUUUCACAUAGAGGGAUACUCCCUCAGCCUAGACACACGGGGGAGGGCCUAGGCCCUGCUCCAAAUGAUAUGACAGACUUUGAAGAUCCUCCAUGGAAAGGGUAUAGGAUAGGGGCUUGGUGGAGGACAGGGGAGGGAGAGAGAACUGG
rnacentral:lncRNA from 1 species